rnacentral:rRNA from 1 species
AUUGAACGCUGGCGGCAUGCUUUACACAUGCAAGUCGAGCGGCAGCGCGGGGGCAACCCUGGCGGCGAGCGGCGGACGGGUGAGUAAUGCAUCGGAACGUAUCCCGUAGUGGGGGACAACCCAGCGAAAGCUGGGCUAAUACCGCAUAUGCUCUACGGAGGAAAGUGGGGGACCGCAAGGCCUCACGCUAUGGGAGCGGCCGAUGUCCGAUUAGCUAGUUGGUGGGGUGAUGGCUUACCAAGGCGACGAUCGGUAGCUGGUCUGAGAGGAUGAUCAGCCACACUGGGACUGAGACACGGCCCAGACUCCUACGGGAGGCAGCAGUGGGGAAUUUUGGACAAUGGGGGCAACCCUGAUCCAGCCAUGCCGCGUGCGGGAAGAAGGCCUUCGGGUUGUAAACCGCUUUUGUUCGGGAAGAAAAGGCCAAGGCUAAUAUCCUUGGUUCUUGACGGUACCGGGAGAAUAAGCACCGGCUAACUACGUGCCAGCCGCCGCUGUAACAC